GGGAUAUUGCACCUACUUGUGGCCAGUUUCCUUGCCCUGCCUUUGGAUCUCAUGCUGUGCCCAGUCCUGCAGCCGCUGGAAAUUUUCUAUACAUCCACGGAGAAAACAAGAAGUGGGGCUUUUAAAACCUUUUUCCAUAUUAAAGAACUAGAAGGACAGGACUCUUAAAUGAUCCAGGAGAAAGUGAGAAUCAUCCUGAACUUCAGGAAAUCUGCUGCCGCCGCUCUUACUGCUACUGAAGCUAUUUCGGCUUGUGCUUUCGGAGUUGAAAGUACAACAAGAUUUACCAAUGAAGUGGGCACAUAGAAAUGGGGAAAUCCUAAAGGGGCCAGCUGUGUUCAAGGUAUGAAUCAAUCUCAACUACGUAAAGAUUUUCUCUUGGUACAACUGCCUUGCAUUAAACAGUUUUGUUCAAUACCUUCCAUGAGCUAUUUAUGUCCCCAUUAAUAUCUGUUGCAAAUCCUGCCAGACACUGUAAAAGAAAAUUACAAUCUUUUCAGUCUCUGUGCUGCAACAGUACAUCCUUGAUGAUCCAGUUAGAGGAGAAGGAAAAGAAAAGCAAGUCCUGGGCAUGAGUUUAGGAAAGGUAGGGGAGGGGAAGAGAGAUCAUUGAGAAUACCCUGUUGUGCCAGUUGUCAUUUAUUGUCAAAACUAGGACUGGGAGUGUGAGCAAACAGCAAGUUUCAACCCUAAGAGGGGUUCAUCAAUGGUUCAUAGAAUAUCUCUGUUUGAGGAAAUCAAAAUUCAAAGGAUCACCCUGGCUAAGGAUGCCCACCAU